ensembl:lncRNA novel transcript
GGUUUGCAAAGGGAGUAGCCUCCAGUCCUUCUGUUACUUAGGUGUGGAAAGUUGGGGUUUUCCUUUUGAUUUAGUUCUACGAAGUCAGAGUGAAUCAGCCUUAGGUUCCCUGCCUCCAGACCCUAUUCUCCUGCCUCACAAGAGUUGAAGAAAGACCACCAGUGAAAUGUUGAUAAGCCGAGGUAUAGAUGAGAAUCCCAAACUGAGACAGCUUAAGAAAUGUCCAGAGUCUUGUAACAAGUGAAAAUGUCAUAUGUCAUGAGGUCAUGUUGGAAAACCUUAAAGAGGAUAAAAGAUCUUCCACAAGCAACAGUACUUCCCCUUCCUGCUGCCAUGUGAAGAAGGACGUGUUUGCUUCCCCAUCUGCUGUGAUUAUAAGUUUUCUGAGGCCUCCUCAGCCCUGCAGAACUG